UGUAUAUGCUUCUUUAACCUAGCAAAACGACGCGUAUGCCUAAGGACCCUCAAAGUUCUUUCUCCCCCUGCAAUCUCUCUUCUUCCAUUUUUAUCUUCUCCAACUUUCUAUCCUAUUUUCUCUUUCACUUUACUUUUUUGCUCUCAUUGCUUUCUCAUCAUCUUCUUCCAGGAGUGUUAAUUAAACUUUGUCCUGUUUUGUUGAUUGUUUGAUAUUGCUUUCAAUUUUUGCUGCUCCAAUUUGUUGGUAUUGCAUGGACAAAAUUUGAAUGUCGAAUCCACUUUUUCUUCGGCGACUGUAGACCAUCUCAAUUUUGUAUUGAUGGGUCCUAUUAUAAGAGGGUACAAUGGAAAAAUUCUUAUGCCAAAAUCCAGCGAAGACCUCAAAAUUCAACUGGGAGACACACGUAUGACCACUUUUGUUCAUCAUUCUUUAUCAUUUACUUACGCUAGGUGCAACUUCCAAAAUCUUUGAAAUUGUUGAAACAUCGAUUUAGAUUUCGAGCACCAAGUUCUGAAAUCUUACUAUUCUCCAUUCCAAUUGACCUUGGAGUUGCACUUUAUAUGUGGAAGUAGAAAUUUGAGAAGACAUCAACACACCUCCAAAUAAUUAAGAAUGUAUCAUCGAAUGUGAAAAGGUCCUACAUUGCCCUGUCAAAUGAAGGAACAUGGAAUGUUGCUCGACAAUCCAGAUAAACAAAUCAUGGAAGAUCUUGCAAUGGAGGUUCCAAGAGAAAUGUCUUGCAGGUUCAACAGAUAAAAUAAUAGUUGUAACAUCAGCAGUUGCACUAGCUGGAGUUUCAUUAUUGGCAAGCAUCGUUUAUGUGGGAAUUUAUACAAAGGAAUAAAAGGUUGCCGCACGUCUCCCGAAGUCUUCUGAUCCAUCUCAUCCACCUGGUCCUGGGAGGCAUAGCUGCUAUCUCGCUAUCUGCAAACGUAUUCAACAAGACAUAAUGUUCUUGAAAAUUCUACUAUUGGCACCCCCAACGCAGCCCACAUCAUCUUGGUACAGAGACGGUUUUCCCUUUUCCAAAACAGGCUGCACUUAUCAUCUGAGAACCUUCGGAGCUCUUUGAGAAAGCUGCAAGUCACCAAGUUCGACCAACUCAACCCCACGACAAGUUAAACAAAGGAAAAAGUAUGCAAUCCUUCGCCCAUUUCUCAAAAACUGCCAGCCGCGAUGUCAGACUCAAUUCCUGCGCAAUUUAGAUAAAGGAAAGCAAGUAUGCAGCCUAUUCACUAUCUUUGAAACAGGUAAUCCAGCUCUUUGCCUUAUAUUUUUCAGUAUGGCAUAUUGAUCAUCACUUUAUUGUAAAUUGUGAUUGUUUGCACAUAAGGGUGCAUGUUGGAUGUGUCUACUCAGCAUUAUGCGGCCUUAAAUACAGUUCCAAUCGAAAGGUUUGUGCUAAAUUGAUACUCCAAUAAUAUCUACUUCACCUAUUACUGAACAGCGAAGCGAGUAAUAUGAUUCUAAAAAAAGUUCCUAACUGUUCAUAUUGUGGCACACAAAAAUUUGAAUACAAAAGAAGAAUCUAAACAUUUUCGAACAUAGAUUAGAACAUACAAUAAUAUGUUGAACACAUUGCUUGGUGUGAAGUACGAUAAAAAAAAUUGUGAAAAGAAAUUGUGGUAUGUACAGAUUUAGAGAACAAGGACAUAUGUAUCAUUUCAUAGAUGAUUUAGUCGCUUCCAACGAAAAACCCAACAACUUACAAUUAUACUUUUCUGAUCAUGAGAAUGAAUUGGCUAGCAGAAUGGCCAAAAAACCCCAAACUAUUAGAGGCAAGGCUAAUGACAAAAAGGGUCUAAGAAGUCAUGGUACUUACUCCCUCUGUUUCAUCUUCGAUUUACUUAAACUAAUACUCAUUAUUAUAUAAUUAAAGUUUAAAGUUACAAUUUAUGAGUGCAGUAAUUUUAAUAGCAUCAAUUGUUGAGAUUUUUACUGGUAAAACAAAAUACAUACUAAAAUACUUUAGCAGUACAAAAAGAAAUAUCUAUUCAUAAUAUCUUGAGAUUGUUUCCUAUUAAGCUAUUCAAAGAAGGAAACAGUGUGAUUGACUUGUCUUUUUGUUUACCUAUUUUGAUUAAAAUAAAGAUAUUCUCCUUCACUCCACAUUAUCAUUUUACUUAACAAAAGAAACAAUAACUUGUGUACCGAAAGAGGUACCAUUUUCUCAUGAAUUUAUCUUGAGUUGAGAUUCUUUGGUCAAUUUUAUCCAAUUUUGCUAACAGCAGUCCAUUUUCAAUCUUAAAUUGGUUAAAAUACAGCAACGGAAUUGGGUAUUUAUUUAAGGUGACAAUGUAUAUUAUUUAUUAAACUCUUAUGUUUUAUUGUGCUUUCUAUUCUGGCUUUGAAAUUUGGGGCUAAGAAAAAGGUUGGGAUGUUCAUUGUUCAAGUAAUUUGAGAUAUUAGACGAUGCUAUUGAUGUAAUGAAAUUGGAAGAUGCUGUAAUUCAAAACAUGGUAAAGUCUCUGAUUUGUGUUCACAAGUUGCAAUCCUUGAUUGUUUUUCAUUGUAUUGGGUUAUUUUUCAUAAUAUUGGCAAUUUUGACAAAUGUACAAUGAUUUUAACUCCACUAUGUACAUACUUGGUCACCCAUGGAAGAAGUGUGAAAAGAUAAUUCAGCAAUUAUUUGGAAACCUUUCCUCAUGUUGGGAACCAAAAUGAGGUACAAGAAGCAAUGUAAAGUGUACUUCAAACAGAACUUGAGUUGUACGAGUAGGGUUAAAAUAGGAAAUUCACUUUAUUCACUCUCUCACCUCUGCUUCUACUCUUUCUUCUCUGGCUGACAACAUUGACAGCCAUUUUAAACCUUCAACGGAGUUAAACUUUGCUUCAGAGUCUCACUCCAACUUCUCAAGUUCGUUCAAUUGUUUACCUGGUAAGUAUUCUUGUGUGGUAUUGACCCUCUUCCCUUGUGAAUUUUAACUCUUUUUUUCCCAUUAUUGUGUUUAUGCUUCCUAUUAUUUUACUGAUUUUUCUUAUUUAUAGGUCUUCCACAAUUUUUCUCGGAUUCUUUUGAGUUCAGAUAGAUGCCUCUUGAAAUACAUGCAUAAUUUGUUUUCAAUAUUUUGCAGUUUCUAGCUCUAAAAUACUAAAAAAUAUUAGUAGUAUUUUCUUAUCAAUAUAUGAUACUUUUUGUAGAUAAUUAAUGGCUUGAUGCGGUAGCAUGUUUGCCGGAAUUUCCUGUGAAGGUAAGACUUGUGUGUUAUGAAGAGAGAUUAGUUACAAGAGUUGAUUGUUUUGGCAGAUGAUUGAAGGUGCUAAUGAAGUUGAACGGUGGGCUUAGGUGAAUAGACAUUUUCCCUUGUAAUAUCUUUUUUUCAUAUGGUAUUUUCCCCAAAAAAUAUUGAGUAAGAAUUUGAGUUGCCGAAUUCUUUGAUGCUGCCAUGAAAUUAGAAGUGAUAACGUAAUGCUGAAAAUUCUGGGUAAGCUUUCAGUAUUGAUCUUUUUGUUGUUUGAACUACAUUUUUGAAAAAAUUCAACUACUAAUAUAGUAAGUUGAGGUGAUAUUCAAAGACAAAUUGUUUAAAUACAAAGUCAGAAUAACAAGCAGGUUGAAUCAGGUGAAAAGGUUCAUUUCUGGCUCUCCAAUUUCCAAGUCCUUUAAGGCCGCAUGAAAAUAUGCCUUCGGUUUGGAUUGAGUCGGGAAUGAUACGAAUGAUAUGAUUCCCUCUGCUGACUAUAAGAAGCAUAUUCUAUUUCUCCAUUUGUAUGAGUAAAUUCUAUCAUUUCUUUGAGAUAUAAAAUUAUAAGCUAUGUAUCAAUGUUAUUUUGGACAUUUCAUUUUUAUAGGAAAUGCACUGAUGGUAGCAGCAUGUG